rnacentral:rRNA from 1 species
CCUACGGGUGGCUGCAGUGAGGAAUAUUGGUCAAUGGACGAGAGUCUGAACCAGCCAAGUCGCGUGAAGGAUGACUGCCCUAUGGGUUGUAAACUUCUUUUAUCUGGGAAUAACAUGUUCCACGUGUGGGGUCUUGUAUGUACCACAUGAAUAAGGAUUGGCCAACUCCGUGCCAGCCGCCGCGGUAAUACGGAGGAUCCGAGCGUUAUCCGGAUUUAUUGGGGUUAAAGGGAGCGUAGGUGGAUUGUUAAGGCAGUUGUGAAAAUUUGGGGCUCAAACGUAAAAUUGCAGUUGAAACUGGCAGUCUGGAGUACAGGAGAGGUGGGCGGAAUGCGGGGUGUAGCGGUGAAAUGCUUAGAUAUCACGAAGAACUCCGAUUGCGAAGGCAGCUCACUGGACUGCAACUGACACUGAGGCUCGAAAGUGUGGGGAUCAAACAGGAUUAGAUACCCGGGUAGUC